GGAGUUAGCCGGUGCUUCUUCUGUGAGUGAUGUCCUUCCUGCCGGCUAUUAACCCGCAGGCCUUCUUCCUCACUGAAAGUGCUUUACAACCCGAAGGCCUUCUUCACACACGCGGCAUGGCUGGAUCAGGGUUGCCCCCAUUGUCCAAUAUUCCCCACUGCUGCCUCCCGUAGGAGUCUGGGCCGUGUCUCAGUCCCAGUGUGGCUGAUCAUCCUCUCAGACCAGCUACGGAUCGUCGCCUUGGUGAGCCGUUACCUCACCAACCAGCUAAUCCGACAUAGGCUCAUCCGAUAGCGCGAGGCCCGAAGGUCCCCCGCUUUCCCCCGUAGGGCGUAUGCGGUAUUAGCCUGGGUUUCCCCAGGUUAUCCCCCGACUACCGGGCAGAUUCCUAUGCAUUACUCACCCGUCCGCCGCUCGCCACCAGGGAGCAAGCUCCCCGUGCUGCCGCUCGACUUGCAUGUGUAGCUGCCGCCACGCGUCAUCUGAGCACGAAGUACGACCGUACGA
rnacentral:rRNA from 1 species